AACGAACGCUGGCGGCAGGCUUAACACAUGCAAGUCGAGCGCUCCGCAAGGGGAGCGGCAGACGGGUGAGUAACGCGUGGGGAUCUACCCAUCUCUACGGAAUAACGCAUGGAAACGUGUGCUAAUACCGUAUACGUCCUUCGGGAGAAAGAUUUAUCGGAGAUGUAUGAGCCCGCGUUGGAUUAGCCAGUUGGUGGGGUAAAGGCCUACCAAGGCGACGAUCCAUAGCUGGUCCGAGAGGAUGAUCAGCCACACUGGGACUGAGACACGGCCCAGACUCCUACGGGAGGCAGCAGUGGGGAAUAUUGGACAAUGGGCGCAAGCCUGAUCCAGCCAUGCCGCAUGAGUGAUGAAGGCCCUAGGGUUGUAAAGCUCUUUCACCGGUGAAGAUAAUGACGGUAACCGGAGAAGAAGCCCCGGCUAACUUCGUGCCAGCCGCCGCGGUAACAC
rnacentral:rRNA from 1 species